rnacentral:rRNA from 1 species
CAGCACCUCAAGUGGUCAGGAGGAUUAUUGGGCCUAAAGCAUCCGUAGCCGGCGCUGUAAGUUUUCGGUUAAAUCUGUACGCUCAACGUACAGGCUGCCGGGAAUACUGCAGCGCUAGGGAGUAGGAGAGGUAGACGGUACUCGGUAGGAAGGGGUAAAAUCCUUUGAUCUAUUGAUGACCACCUGUGGCGAAGGCGGUCUACCAGAACACGUCCGACGGUGAGGGAUGAAAGCUGGGGGAGCAAACCGGAUUAGAUACCCGAGUAGUCC